GACGAACGCUGGCGGCGUGCCUAAUACAUGCAAGUCGAGCGAGCGGAACUAACAGAUUUACCUCGGUAAUGACGCUAGGAAAGCGAGCGGCGGAUGGGUGAGUAACACGUGGGGAACCUGCCCCAUAGUCUGGGAUACCACUUGGAAACAGGUGCUAAUACCGGAUAAGAAAGCAGAUCGCAUGAUCAGCUUUUAAAAGGCGGCGUAAGCUGUCGCUAUGGGAUGGCCCCGCGGUGCAUUAGCUAGUUGGUAAGGUAAAGGCUUACCAAGGCGAUGAUGCAUAGCCGAGUUGAGGGACUGAUCGGCCCCAUUGGGACUGGGACACGGCCCAAACUCCUACGGGAGGCAGCAGUAGGGAAUCUUCCACAAUGGACGCAAGUCUGAUGGAGCAACGCCGCGUGAGUGAAGAAGGUUUUCGGAUCGUAAAGCUCUGUUGUUGGUGAAGAAGGAUAGAGGUAGUAACUGGCCUUUAUUUGACGGUAAUCAACCAGAAAGUGACGGCUAACUACGUG
rnacentral:rRNA from 1 species